CCUACGGGGGGCAGCAGUGAGGAAUAUUGGUCAAUGGACGAGAGUCUGAACCAGCCAAGUAGCGUGAAGGGUGACUGCCCUAUGGGUUGUAAACUUCUUUUAUAUGGGAAUAAAAUGUUCCACGUGUGGGAUUUUGUAUGUACCAUAUGAAUAAGGAUCGGCUAACUCCGUGCCAGCAGCCGCGGUAAUACGGAGGAUCCGAGCGUUAUCCGGAUUUAUUGGGUUUAAAGGGAGCGUAGGUGGAUUGUUAAGUCAGUUGUGAAAGUUUGCGGCUCAACCGUAAAAUUGCAGUUGAAACUGGCAGUCUUGAGUACAGUAGAGGUGGGCGGAAUUCGUGGUGUAGCGGUGAAAUGCUUAGAUAUCACGAAGAACUCCGAUUGCGAAGGCAGUUCACUGGACUGCAACUGACACUGAGGCUCGAAAGUGUGGGUAUCAAACAGGAUUAGAUACCCGUGUAGUC
rnacentral:rRNA from 1 species